AUCAACUGACAAUAUUAGAUUGUAUGGUGGUUCAAUGGUCCAUAGCCUCAAAUGACAAAUUAGAACUCAAAAAUCAUUAAGCCACACUAGUAAAACAUCAGCAAAGAAGAUUCAAUAACUGCCUCUGCAAGGGCAAAAGAUAACAUAUACCUGAACUUUAGUGGAACCUCCUACAACAUGGAAAAGAGAAACUAGCUCUUCCAACUUGAGAGGCUGCUACGAGACUUCUUUUCUCAGAAUUUUGCUCUUUUUGAUGCCAAAUGCCUGGUGGCAGUACUUGCUCCAUAUUCCAUAGUUCACUUCACCUGGAUCAAAGUUUUGUUUGGGUCACUGUUGCUGCUUAAUGACAUGCCCCCUUCUGUUGAGCACUCUAUUGAGCAUAUGCCUUUUCUUAUGAAUGCUAAUUGUACCGUUGACUUAACCUGUAUUGUUUGCACGAAGAAUCCAUACCUUUCACUUUUAAUGCAGUUCAAUUUGAAAACCUCCUUGUUGGACCCAACUUGUCAUGGUAACAACGGGACUUCAGUUUCCAGGUUUCCGAAUUAGUCUGAACAAACUUCAAUUUCUCAAAUACUGGAAUGACUGGGCCUUUGAAGUCUAUGAUACCGAUAAACUAAUCCUGUUCUAAGAGAAUUUGUUGAUUGGUAUCAAGCAUGUUAUUGAGCCACUUUAACAUUUUUCACUUUACCUUCAGUUCUUUCCUUAAAUUUGACGCUGUAAGGAAAAUUCCAUAUGAAUCGCUAAAUCAACCUUCAAAAAACUCAGAAUUUGAUCUACUCUUCAUAUCUGAAAUUAAAUGACCAAAAAGAACUCGCUAAUUGUUUGAUAAAAACUGUACCCAGCUCAAGGUGGGAAAUUUAAUAGUCAUUUAUUUUUUUUUGACCAAUCAAUUAGGAAUUUCAUUUUCUUUAAGCAGAUACACACAAACGGAAAACAAAUCAGAUUACGCAAAAUCGAAACUUGAUUUUCCUCAUCACUAGUAAAG
rnacentral:misc_RNA from 1 species